UACAGAGGUCCCGAGCGUUGUUCGGAUUCACUGGGCGUAAAGGGUGCGUAGGUGGCCGGGUAAGUCUGACGUGAAAUCUCCAAGCUCAACUUGGAAACUGCGUCGGAUACUAUCCGGCUCGAGGAUCGGAGGGGAGACUGGAAUACUUGGUGUAGCAGUGAAAUGCGUAGAUAUCAAGAGGAACACCAGUGGCGAAGGCGAGUCCCUGGACGAUACCUGACACUGAGGCACGAAAGCUAGGGGAGCAAACAGG
rnacentral:rRNA from 1 species